rnacentral:rRNA from 1 species
UACGAAGGGGGCUAGCGUUGCUCGGAAUCACUGGGCGUAAAGGGUGCGUAGGCGGGUCUUUAAGUUAGAGGUGAAAGCCCGGAGCUCAACUCCGGAACUGCCUUUAAAACUGCAUCGCUUGAAUCCAGGAGAGGUGAGUGGAAUUCCGAGUGUAGAGGUGAAAUUCGUAGAUAUUCGGAAGAACACCAGUGGCGAAGGCGGCUCACUGGACUGGUAUUGACGCUGAGGUGCGAAAGCGUGGGGAGCAAACAGG